rnacentral:pre_miRNA from 1 species
UCUUAUGAACAGAUGAAGAAAGUGGUUCCUUGAGAUGGAGUCUACUCCUUGUGAAGAUGCUAUGAA